UGCGAUAUAGCUCAGGGGCAGAGUGUGUGCUUAGCAUGCAUGAGGUCCUGGGUUCAAUCCCUAGUACCUCUG
rnacentral:tRNA from 1 species